rnacentral:rRNA from 1 species
GACGAACGCUGGCGGCGUGCUUAACACAUGCAAGUGGAGCGACGAACCAGGCUUCGGCCUGGGGCAAAGCCGCGAACGGGUGAGUAACACGUGGGUAACGUGCCCCAAUGACCGGGACAACCCGAGGAAACUCGGGCUAAUACCGGAUGUGCUGCAGAGUCGUAAGUCUCUGCAACAAAGGAAGCUUCGGCCUCCGCAUUGGGAGCGGCCCGCGACCCAUUAGCUUGUUGGUGAGGUAACGGCUCACCAAGGCUGCGAUGGGUAGCUGGUCUGAGAGGACGAUCAGCCACACUGGGACUGAGACACGGCCCAGACUCCUACGGGAGGCAGCAGUGGGGAAUCUUGCGCAAUGGGCGAAAGCCUGACGCAGCGACGCCGCGUGAGGGAUGACGGCCUUCGGGUUGUAAACCGUCUUUCUAGCUCCGACGAAGCGAAAGUGACGGUAGGAGCAGAAGAAGCACCGGCC